UAUAUUUUAGCACCUUUCUCGGAAAUUUACUCUGCAGGUUAAUCAGAGCGUAGUGUGAGUAGAGAUUCACCUCAUCUUUUAUUCAGAAAGACUCAAUCUGUUUCUGUGUAGUUCCGUUCAUUGGCUUUAUCAUUCAUCUAAUUAUUCAUCAUAUCACUUACCAUUAGCGUCAUUUGACCUUCAGUGUACAGCCGGCCUACAGCUGGUGUCCAGUUACACUUCUGUCACUGAUAUCCAGAUGAUGAGUCUCUUCCUCUGGGUGUUAAUCUCUCCUGGCUCACAACUGAUUUGACACUUACAAUAAUGUGUCAAAGGGGACAAUUGUAUUAUAUGUGUCUGAUGCUCCUUCUAUAAGGUGCUAUUAUAACUGCAUAUUUCCCUUCUGUAGACGGUGCUAAGCAGACUGCUGCAGACGGGAAGAAACCUGCAGAACACUGACGAAAUGCUUCUCAUUAAGGCGUACUUCAAUUUAUCGCCGAGCAGCCUGAGGCCAGUGCUCAAAGAAGCUCACAAUCAUACCAUCAGACUCAUCCUUCAGUACUACGCCAGUGUCAAAGACACACUGCAGUUGCCCAAUGAGUACCUGUCCACCAUGGUGUCAGAGAUACUGCAGACUCACCUGGUAAAAGAUGUUACUCUUUUCCCUGAGCUCGCUCCAAUGCUGACUAAAGCCAGCCCAGCUGACAUCCAAGCUUUGCCUCCCUGG
ensembl:lncRNA